GGUGCGGGCCGGACUUCCGGAACCGUCCUCCUGGGAUCCCGUCGGCUCGGGGGUCGGCCCUCAACCGAAGGACCCGAGAGCUGGGUGGGGUGGUCCUGGAGGAUUGUCGGCUGGGGCUCCCCUGGCGGCAGGGCCGCGUGGUCUCCGAGGAUGUGGCCUGUGCUUCUCCCAGGAGGAGUGGCCCGGCGUCUGAUGCGUGGAGGUUGGACGUGGGGGAACUUGGCACCUGCGGCCCGGGGGUGGUCGGUGUGGCGUAGAGCGGGAGGCACCGGCCGAGCGGGGCGCUUUUCUAAGCGCGUCUCAGGUCAGGACGCCUCUCGCAGGUCCGUCUGCUUGGGCGCGUUCCCUGAGAUGUGUGGCCCAGGCUGGAAAGACGAGUUGCUCCUGGCUGAGCACCGGGGAGCCGCCGCGGGCAGAAGCUGCAGUGAGGAGGCGUGUGGGAGAGGCUUCGGCCUCAGCGCUCCCGGCCCCAAAGCAGCCGAGUCGAGAGAAACCCAACAGAGGCGGGCAGGGUAGGGCCUCGUGGCGAGGCACUGUGGAGUCCACGUGUCGGAGAAGCCCUUAGUGUGCGGGGAGUUCGGGCCCAGCGCCGGCCUUCUCCAGCACCAGGACGGGGAAGGCCGGCAGGAGCGCCGCAGGCUGGGAGGCCGCUCACCCCGGACUGUAUGGCAAGCGGGAGGGAGCCUACGGCCGCCACACCGGGGCAGGUCUGAGUGCAGGUAACCCCCGCCUCUUUCAACGGCGGAGAAUCCACGCUGGAGAAGAGCCUUAUGAGUGCAGCCACCGUGGGAAGGAUGCAUUCAGCGAAGGAUACACGCUUGUUUGGCACCAGAAGGUUCACAGCAGAAAAGCCUGGGACUUCCCUGGCGGUCCGGUGGUUAGGACUCCGCGCUUCCACUGCAGGGGGCACGGGUUCGAUCCCUGGUCGGGGAACUAAGAUCCCCGCAAGCCAAAGGGUGCAGCACCGCCCCCGCCCUCCCCCCCCCAAAAAAAGCCUGAUGAGUGCAGUAGUAUCAGAGAACCUUUAGCGACAUCGCUAAGCUCAGUCGGCAUCAGACGGUUUAUACUAGAGAAAGUCCCUUUGAAUGCAUGGAAUGAAAGCAUUUUGCCAAAGGUGUGCUCUGAUUUACACUGGAAGUUCACCUACCAGAAAAGUGUUAGGAGUGCAGCAAAUGUGGGAAAACCUCCUGCCAAAACGUCAACCUUGUGCUGCAUGGAAGUCUGUUGAGUAUGUCCAGUGUGAGAAAGCGUUAAGCUGCAGGUCCAACCCCAUUCAUCCCUGGCAGGUUCACCCUCGAGGAAGACCUCAUGGAUGCAGAGAUGGGGGAAGGGCUUCCACCCAAGAGGCUUUUUCAUUUAGCAGCAGAACGUUCGCGGUAGAGAGGCCUGUGAGUGCAGCCGAUGUGAGAAAACCUUCAGUCAAGGGCCUCACCUCGUAAAGCAUCAUGAAGUUCAUGCUGGGGAAAUGCCCUAAGUGUGCAGGGAACGUGCUCUCUCCUCGUUUAGCGGAACAGGACGCGUGCCAGAGACGAGCUGAGGGAGCCUCUGUGAGGAUGCCCUUGGCUGGAAGUUGAGCUUCAUAGGGUCAAACGGGAUAUUCCUGAUGAGUGCUAGGUGGGUGGGGAGCUUUCGGGUACUCUCACCUGCCCUGGGGCCCUUGCCAGAGUUCUCUCGCUGGCAGGGCCCAUGGCAGAAGCCAUCUCACCACUCUGCCAGCUGGGAGGGUCUCGUCACCUGUGCUCGUUCCAGUCCCUGGAGGGACCCAUGAGCAGCCUGGGCCUGUUGAUGGGCCUCAUCUCCUUCCUGACUAGUUAGGGCGUGGGUGUGACCCAGCAUUGGCUAGGAGGACCUCAGCUGGGUCCUUUCUGUGGCUCUCAGGGAUGGUUUACCUUUUUUCAGGGAACUUGUUGGCCUCAUGUGACUCGAUGGAUUUGUCCAGCUUCCAAGUCAGACUUCCAAGGGAACUGCCUGCCUCCCAUUAUUCUGCUGGGUGUGGAAAUAAAGGCCUUGUUACUGAAGCCACCUUGAACUUGGGGAUUUCGGCUUACUGUGUAGGGUACACAUCUGCUGUCUUUCUUGGUGGAUGCCCCCCCCUUGCCUUUGGUGGUCGAUUCCUGCCGUUUGGCCUCUGCUCCUCUGGAAUCCCAUCAUCUCCACUGAAAUUGGGGAGCCCACCUCAGCGGCAGCAUCCCCACCACCAUGCAUGCCGUCAAGGAGAACAAUCCCGAAGCCUUCCAAGCACGUGAGUGCCCCUCUUACUAAGGGGUUUCUCGGUGCCCUAGUGAAAGGAACAUCUUCCGGGUCUUCCGGAAAUCCGUAGUUGGGAGGUGGGUGUGCAGGUCACACGGGAUGAAUCCAGUCCAACAUUCCUAUCUCCCUAGGCCUUUGGAUUCCCUCCUCCAUGCCAGGGAAGCUCUGGCAUCUCACCCUAGCUAAAUGUAGGCCAUUUUUGAGGAUAAGUCUCAGUCAGACAGUCAGAUAUGUUGUUUAGAAACACCUCCAGCUGCUCAAGUGAGCGCAUUAAAUCUGAACUCUAGUCCCUUUACCAUCAUCCAUAAAUUUGCCCUGAUCUAGUGUUAACGUCCCACCCUCCGUGGUCUAACACCCUUAGAAUCCACUUCACAUGUGUUUCCCAUGUUUCUGGUAUAUGUUAGAAAAGGCUUGCUCAUUUUCUAGGUGGGUUAGCUAGUCUUCCCGGAGCAUUGUGUGUUCCUGUCCCACUGGAGCAUGCUGUGCUUUGACCUUAGUCACGUGACUGGUGGCAACAGGGGGUAGUUGUGCUGGGUCUUGAGAAUAGCUGUCCCUUUUCAAGGCGUCUCCCCUUGGCAAGGGUGUCACCGGAUUUUCAAGCAAAGGAAGACGCCACAGACAGAUGACCUCUACUGGUGAGGGAGGCUUAGGACAACUUGGGGUUUUAGGCUGGUCAGUUUCCCUGGAUCUAACCAAAUGUCCCCACCCCAGUUUCAUGUUCCCACCCUUUCUCAGUCAGUGCCUGACGUUCCCUUGAGAUACUGGUGAGACUGAAUCUAGCUGUUCACAAGCAAUACAAUGAACUUUUCUGUAUGACUUUUAGAAAUAUCAGCCCUGUGACUGCAAGAAAAGAAAGAGGUUCUUUACUGAAGUAUUCUGGUUCUCACUAUUACUUGUCCUGAGAGUUAAGUCGCCAUGACUUGUCAUUUUCUCUCUGUGUGCACUCCAGUGCACUUGAAGCUCUAUCCCAUACCAUACCGUACUGCCUGUAGCCAUCUUUAAUACCAUUAAAAAAAAAAAAAAAGGCUCAGUAGCCACAGGUGCUCCGAGUCAACUUGCUUCAGUCAGCACUUCAUCACAAGCAACCAAAGGCGAUGGCUCGAUUAAUUCUGAUGCUGCUGCAUGCGGGCGUGCCACGGAUUACUAUCUUCCCGUUUCCCAGUGGCAAUGAGCUCAACACUGCUUAAGCUCGAAAUCACAACAGAUCAAUUCCCAGAUCCCACUUUGCAAGUCCAUCUCCUGUGAUCACUCCCGGUACCAGUUCUGUAUCAGUCAGGGUCCAGUCCAGCAUACAGUAACCACACAAUAAUAUGAGCAAGGAAGGUUUGAGGGAAGGAUUAUUAACUAUUUCCAGGGAGAAAAAAGAGCAUUCGAAGGAAUACCCCAAGGGAGAGGACCCACGGAAGGAACAAAUGUGGAAGGCAGGGAGCCCUCCCCAAGGCUGGAUUGACACCUUGUUGGAGGUGGUGGUGUUUUAACCCAACAGACAGACGGCAGAAAAGUUCGCAGGGUUGAUCUGGGCCAGAGUUGGUCCGUGUGACUGAUGGGCAAGAACUCCGAGCUAGUGGAAGGCGGGACCCCCUAUCCCCAGCGCCCCCCUCCCCCGCACUGGGGUGCCUACGUGAUUCACCUGGAAGCUGCCCUGGGGAAGGGAGGUGCUGUCAACUUGGCUUAGAAGCCUACUGGGUCAUGGCUGGGCUUGCUGGUGAGCUGCUGAGAAGCCCUCCAGGGAGUGCCCUUGAACCCUCUGGAAACUGCUUACAGGGCUGCCCCUGAGCUCCCCACCAGGAAGCCACCUCAGGUGCCCUGAAGCUUACUGGGAGGCGAGCUCCUGGGCGCACAGCGCUCCAGCCAAGCACCCGGGGAGCCAGGAGGAAGGAAGGCGCCCAGAGCCAGGAGGAGAAACUUGCUCCUCCAGUGCCCCUCCAGCUCCCUCUAGCGACAGAGCCUGACGUUGCGCCAGCUGCAAGGAAGACGUGGUCUGGACCAGAAGCAGGACAGUGGGAAGUGGGGUCAGGGCUGAGAGGCCACGCGUUUACCACCGGCACAGCCAAAGUCAUGUUAUGACGCUAGCACACCCUCGAUGGCAAAACCCAGCAAAGGCAGCAGGAGGAAAAGAAUACUGGUCUGUGUCGCGUGUGCAUGGAUGCAAAACGCUAAAGAAAACUCAGAAAACUGGAUUUAGCAAUAUAUAAACUCUAAUGCACUGAGACCACCUUGGGUUUAUAUUGGUGUCCGCUGGCUCUCUUAACUGCGAAGCACCCAGCUGUGACCAGGUGACCUCAUCAGUGGAAUGCCGCCUCCAGGCCAAGGCUUUUAGGAAGAGAGCACGUGGGCUCCUGCCCUUCUCUUUCCGCUUCUGCUUCCCGUGCAGGUGAUGACGGCCCCUUGGGGAUGGAGGGGUUACAAGGUGGUGGCCCGUGAAGAGCUUCCUGCCAAUCCAGCCACCGUCCUGGCUAAACAGGUGAUAAACUUCUCAUGUUUUGAGCUAGUGCCCACUUCGGCAUAGGUAUGUAUGUGUAUGUGUGUGUUUUAGCCUUACCUAGCCAUAUUUAUAAGUUACAUAGUUCACUGUAUUUACAGCUUAUUAAGGGAUAAAAACGAUAUGAUCAUGUUAACAGAUGAAGAAAAGGUGUUUAAUAAAAACCCCUGGCAACUAGGAGUGGAAGGGAAUGUCUUUGUUCUGACACAGGUUAUUCAUAAAAAACCCACAGCAAGCAUUGUAACUAAUGGUGAAAAAUUUAAAGCUUUACUUUUGAGUUGGGUCCACUAAGGCAAUUAGCAACCAAACAAAAUAAGCGAUAUAAGAAUUAGAAAGGUGAAAACAGAACUUAUUUGACAAUGUAAGUGUAGAAAAUCCAAAAUUACUUACAGGUACAUUUUUAGAUUAAUAAGGAAGUUUUUAAAGUUGUUGAAUACAUAAUCAACUAUAAAACCAGUUGCAUUCUGUGCACCAAAACCACAAAAUUAGAAAUUAAGACUUAAAAAGGUGCAAUUUACAAUGGCAUAAAAAUCAAGUACACAGGAAUAUGUAUAACAAAAGACAUGUAAGAAAACUUUGGGAAACAUGAGAGAAGAACUAAAUAAGGAGGCUAUAUAAAAGAUGUCAGAUUUCUGCACAUUGACCUGUAGAUUUAAUGCAAUCCAGAUAAAUAUCCUUACAUGUUUCUUUUUGAAUUUGAAAAGACAGUUCUAAUAAUUAUAUGCCAACCUAAAAGGAUGAAGCUAGUCAACAGGUUCUGGAAGAAAAAGGAGAUGCUGAGAGAUCUUGCUCUACCAGAUUUCAAGACUUAGUAUAAAGCUAAAGAGAGAGAAUGGGGUUAUGUACAAGGGGAGACAAAUGGCCGGAACAAAGAACCAGAAAUAGAUCGAUGUGUAUGUGUUUGUGCUUGAUUUAUGGUGAAACAGACACUGCAGAACAACGGGAAAAAUGGUCUGUUGAAUAAUAAUGUUGGGACAAUGGGGAUCCAUAGUCACACACACACACACACACACACACACACACACACACACACACGAAAAUGGAUCUCCACAUUUCACCAUAAUAAAAAGUCAAUUCCAGGUGCAUUUGUUGAUAGACACGAGAAAGG